ACGGGAGGCAGCAGUGAGGAAUAUUGGUCAAUGGGCGGAAGCCUGAACCAGCCAAGUCGCGUGAAGGGUGAAGGUAUUAUGUAUUGUAAACUUCUUUAGACGCAGAGAAAUAAGGGGCUCGCGAGCCCUGAUGCUAGUAUGCGUAGAAUAAGGAUCGGCUAACUCCGUGCCAGCAGCCGCGGUAAUACGGAGGAUCCGAGCGUUAUCCGGAUUUAUUGGGUUUAAAGGGUGCGCAGGCGGUCUUUUAAGUCAGUGGUUAAAGCGUGAGGCUCAACCUCAUCACGCCAUUGAUACUGGAGGACUUGAUUGCGGUUGAGGUGGGCGGAAUUCGCCGUGUAGCGGUGAAAUGCAUAGAUAUGGCGAAGAACUCCGAUUGCGUAGGCAGCUGACCAAGCCGUAAAUGACGCUCAUGCACGAAAGUGCGGGGAUCGAACAGGAUUAGAUACCCUGGUA
rnacentral:rRNA from 1 species